CCCUUAGAUGUUCUGGGCCGCACGCGCGCUACACUGAUGCAUUCAACAAGCCUAGCCUUGACCGAGAGGUCCGGGUAAUCUUUGAAACUGCAUCGUGAUGGGGCUAGAUUAUUGCAAUUAUUAAUCUUCAACGAGGAAUGCCUAGUAAGCGUGAUUCAUCAAAUCGCGUUGAUUACGUCCCUGCCCUUUGUACACACCGCCCGUCGCUCCUACCGAUUGAAUGUGUUGGUGAGGAGCUCGGAUUGGCAGCAGUUGGUGGUUCGCCACCGGCUAUUGCUGAGAAGUCCUCCAAACUGCCCCAUUUAGAGGAAGGAGAAGUCGUAACA
rnacentral:rRNA from 1 species